rnacentral:rRNA from 1 species
GAUGAACGCUGGCGGCGUGCCUAAUACAUGCAAGUAGAACGCUGAAGGAGGAGCUUGCUCUUUCCGGAUGAGUUGCGAACGGGUGAGUAACGCGUAGGUAACCUGCCUGGUAGCGGGGGAUAACUAUUGGAAACGAUAGCUAAUACCGCAUAACAGUAGAUAUUGCAUGAUAUUUGCUUGAAAGGGGCAAUUGCUCCACUACCAGAUGGUCCUGCGUUGUAUUAGCUAGUUGGUGAGGUAACGGCUCACCAAGGCGACGAUACAUAGCCGACCUGAGAGGGUGAUCGGCCACACUGGGACUGAGACACGGCCCAGACUCCUACGGGAGGCAGCAGUAGGGAAUCUUCGGCAAUGGACGGAAGUCUGACCGAGCAACGCCGCGUGAGUGAAGAAGGUUUUCGGAUCGUAAAGCUCUGUUGUAAGAGAAGAACGAGUGUGAGAGUGGAAAGUUCACACUGUGACGGUAUCUUACCAGAAAGGGACGGCUAACUACGUG